UUAGACAAAUGCUGCACAUUUAAUGUGUUGAGGAAAGUCCAUGCUCACAUAGUCCUGGAAUGGCUAUAGUGUUCGUGCUAAGGGAAUAAAUAACCUUAGGUAAGUUUUACUUAACGGCUUCGAGGUAACCUUAAAUGGUUAUAGUAGAUAUAAAAGUGCCAAAGAGACGAGCUAUUUUGGAAACGAAAUAGGUGGAACGAGGUAAACCCCACGAGUGAGAAAUCCAAAUUUGGUAGGAGAGUCUUUACAAAGGAAUCAUAACGGAGUAAAGGAAUCUAUUUGUAGAUUAGAUAAAUAUUUGUCACUACUUAUGUAGUACAGAACAUGGCUUAUU
rnacentral:RNase_P_RNA from 1 species